rnacentral:lncRNA from 1 species
GUAUUGUAAGUCUUAAGAAAUGCUAAAAUCUAGAUAUAGUUAUAGAAUAUAGUUCAUGAGAUUCAUGGGGAUGGCGUGCUGAUCACUUUGCUUUCUCUUUAAGUUACAUGAUAGAUGCUGCAGAUCGAGAAAAGAUAGAAGCCUCUCGAAAUGAACUGCAUAAUCUUCUAGAUAAACCACAGUUACAAGGGAUUCCAGUAAGUUUGGAGAAUCUGUCUCUUAUGUUAAGCAGCACCUAUGUCAACAGUACAUAUUCAGAUGUGUUGAGCACUCCAGGUGUAGUCAGUAGGAAGUUCUUUUACUGAGUACCGUUUUAAUUUAUAGACUGCCACGGCCUUAAGAACAUUCUGGACAGAUAACUGCACCAUGUUGCACAGGCACUACUUGUUCUCUCCAUUCUCAUUCUUACUGAGUAGGACCUGGGCUGGAAAGUUCUCUUCUUAUUCACGGAGGCAGGUUGCACUCUUCCUGAAUUGGAUGGGUGGUUUGAAUAAAGGGAUAUUUAAACUUUGCUCCUGUAGCCCGACAUGACUAAUGGUCACUGUGAACCAUUUCAAAGAAUGUGGCAACUUGCUUAUGCCUAAAAGGAGGGAUUGGAACCAGAAUGUUUAACUAAGCGGGGACUGCAUAAGUUCUUGUUAAUUGACCU